AAUGACUCUCGGCAACGGAUAUCUCGGCUCUCGCAUCGAUGAAGAACGUAGCGAAAUGCGAUACUUGGUGUGAAUUGCAGAAUCUCGUGAACCAUCGAGUCUUUGAACGCAAGUUGCGCCCGAAGCCUUUUGGCCGAGGGCACGUUUGCCUGGGCGU
rnacentral:rRNA from 1 species